rnacentral:tRNA from 1 species
GCCCUCGUAGUAUAGCUUGGAUAGAAUACGGGUUUGCGGAACCUGUGACCAGGGUUCAAAUCCCUGCGAGGGCA